UAGCGGCAGGCUAACACAUGCAAGUCGAGGGGCAGCGGGAUGUAGCAAUACAUUGCCGGCGACCGGCGGAUGGGUGCGUAACGCGUAUGCAACCUACCUUAUACAGGGGAAUAACCUUUCGAAAGGGAGACUAACACCCCAUAGUAUUGAUUUAAGGCAUCUUAGAUUAAUUAAAUAUUUAUAGGUAUAAGAUGGGCAUGCGUAUGAUUAGCUAGUUGGUAAGGUAACGGCUUACCAAGGCGACGAUCAUUAGGGGUUCUGAGAGGAAGGUCCCCCACACUGGUACUGAGACACGGACCAGACUCCUACGGGAGGCAGCAGUGAGGAAUAUUGGUCAAUGGGCGCAAGCCUGAACCAGCCAUGCCGCGUGCCAGGAAGACGGCCUUAUGGGUUGUAAACUGCUUUUACAUAAGACUAACCGUAUAUUUGCGAAUAUACCUGAAUGUAUUAUGAGAAUAAGGAUCGGCUAACUCCGUGCCAGCCGCCGC
rnacentral:rRNA from 1 species